CUUUGGCGCGAAAGAUACAACUCGAACCCCAUCAAACUUCUCGUAUUACUCGGUUUUGACAUGAACCCCUUAUUAAAGUCGGCGGAAGCCCCAUAGAAACGAAUCCGAGUUGAGCUCCCGGAAGAACGAGAGAGAGAAUGCAGGGAAAAGGGGAAGCAUUCCACUUUAGACAAAUUAUCUCCAAAGGUACUCCCGCUCCCUCUUUCUCCGCUCCCUCCCUCCUCUCUUUACAUGAAUUCUUCGAUCUUUCUGCAUUGCCCUGGAUCAAAUCUUGCCCUAGAAGGAAGCGAAGCAGCGAAGAUUUCUUGGGGUUUGAGAAUUAGGUUUCUUGUUUUCAUGAGAUUUAGAGUUCUUGGAGUCGAGAAGAUCUUCUUGGCUCUGUGAGAUCGGGGAUUCUUGGUUCGAUGAGAUUUUGGGUUCUUGGAACAAUGUGGAAGGAUAUCCGAUUUUGGAAUAUUGAUGGAGGAUUCAAGAAGUGAUUCUUGGGAGGAUAUUUGAUUGGGAGAACUCAUGUUGAAGGAGAAGGGAUUCUUUUAUGGAAUAGUUGGAUUGGAGAAGUAUUUGGAUGAUAAUGUGGAGUAUUGAAGCUAGCAAGGUAGAUUGGUACCUUAUGGUACGGAAUACAAUCAAACAGAGGUAGUGAGAGAUAAAUGGGUUCUCUGUGAACAUUUCACUGUUUCUGAAAGGGUUGGAAAUGCCAUCAUCCAAGGUGAGUAAUUUGCAAGCUUUAUUUCUUCAAGAAAUGGUAGUUGACACCAUCAUUUUUUGCAACUCGAAGUUAUUUUCAUGAUUAUUGUUAUUUUCGUUAAACUUUUAUCUAAAUACAAUGAAAACUUGCCAAUAGAAAAAGGAUUUGUGAGCCUCUGAAAAGCGCUACGUUGAUUAAAUCUCUAAAUCUAUAGCCUUAGGCUCAGAUUAAUUUCCUAGCCAAGUUGAAGGUCCUGCUAUUUAAAUGGAUUUAAGUUAUUUAUACCUUCAAAUGUUGGGGCUGUGGAUGAUCACCAGAGCAU
rnacentral:lncRNA from 1 species